ncrna:Nasonia vitripennis (jewel Type-P1 twister ribozyme ribozyme sequence
UUUUUAAUGUGGCCUUGUACCUACAAGAUAGGUAUCAAGACGGUCUCAAGCCCGUGUAAACACAGAGAGAAAA